ACCGCAAGGAUCUCUGCUGCAAGUAACCCUAGAAUAAAACCGUCUUUAUCCGUGCACCAAGUAGUGCCAUCUCG
rnacentral:tRNA from 1 species